GAUGAAGAACGCAGCGAAAUGCGAUAAGUAGUGUGAAUUGCAGAAUUCAGUGAAUCAUCGAAUCUUUGAACGCACAUUGCGCCCCUUGGUAUUCCAUGGGGCAUGCCUGUUCGAGCGUCAUUUGUACCCUCAAGCUCUGCUUGGUGUUGGGUGUUUGUCUCGCCUCUGCGUGUAGACUCGCCUCAAAACAAUUGGCAGCCGGCGUAUUGAUUUCGGAGCGCAGUACAUCUCGCGCUUUGCACUCAUAACGACGACGUCCAAAAGUACAUUUUUACACUCUUGACCUCGGAUCAGGUAGGGAUACCCGCUGAACUUAAGCAUAUCAAUAAGCGGAGGA
rnacentral:misc_RNA from 1 species